AAAUGCGUAUUUUUUGGAUACAUGGGGGAACUCUUGUGCAAAAAAGUUUGAUUUUGGGGUCAAACGGGGGAUUUUUGAAGAGAAAAUGUGUGAUUUUUGUUUAAAAAGGGUAUUUUUAAAGAGAUA
rnacentral:lncRNA from 7 species